GGGGAUCCAAUCCAAGCAUUCAGUCAGGAUUUAUAUUUUUUUAUUUGAGAAGGCGCUACAUACAUUUGGAACUUGUUUUAUUAAAGUGUAAAAAAGAAAACAGAAUGGAUUUGGGAAGGAGAAAAUCUGCAUGGUUCUUUAUUUUGGUUGCCUUUCAAUUGGCUUCCACUCCGAUGACCAUAUCAGCAGAAUCAGCAUGCAUGUCGACAACCACUGGUGCAUCAACAUCAGCUUGUAUUUCUACAACCACUGGAGCAUCAACAACCACUGGAGCCCUUUUUAAUUUUUUUCUCAAAUUUGAAAUAGUAGAAACAUUUAUUGCUGCUUAUGAUAAUAAUACCUCGCCCGAAUAUACAGAGCUUGAGGACAGAAUUGAGACAAGGUUCAACACGAUCUACAGUGCACAAUUUGGCGACCGGUUCAUUCGGACAAUUAUCAUCAGAUUUAGGAUCUCUGUGGCUCAAUCGAACAAUACUGAAGCAGAAAUAGAGCUUGAGUUUCAGCCAACUGCUUCUCCACAAGCAAUCCCACAGUCUGAGGAGGUUCGAAGUACCUUGGUCACAGGACUGAACAGCACAAACACAACCUCUAACCUCACUGUAGAUACUGCAAGCAUUACGAUCACAAAGGCUCCAACUAUUACAACAAUUAUCUGUUCUCCAACAACUACUGCUGGAUUAUCAACCACCACUACUAGAUCAACAACUGGUGGAUCAACAACCACAGGAGGAUCAACAACCACUGAAGGAUCAACAACCACUGGAGGUUCAACCACAACUGGAGGAUCAACAACCACUGGAGGACCAACAACAACUGGGGGUUCAACAACCACUGUUGUAUCUACAACCACGGGAGAUUCAACAACUGGAGGAUCAACAACCACUGGAGGAUCAUCAACGACUGGAGGAACAACAACCACUGGAGGAUCAACAACCACUGGAGGAUUAUCAACCACUGGAGGACCAACCCCAACUGGAGGAUCAACAACCACUGGAGGAUCAACAUCCACUGCAGGAUCAACAACCACUGGAGGAUCAAUAACCAGUAGACGAC
ensembl:lncRNA